GAUGAACGCUGGCGGCGUGCCUAAUACAUGCAAGUCGAGCGAACAGACGAGGAGCUUGCUCCUCUGACGUUAGCCGCGGACGGGUGAGUAACACGUGUAUCACCCACCUAUAAGACUGGGAUCACCUCGGGAAACCGGAGCUAAUCCCGGAUAAUAUAUUGAACCGCAUGGUUGAAUAGUGAAAGACGGCUUUGCUGUCUCUUCUAGAUGCAUCUCCGCCGCAUGAGCUGGUUGGUAAGGUAACGGCUUAUCAAGGCAACGAUGCGUAGGCGAACUGGGAGGGGGAUCGGCGGCCUUGGAACUGGGACACGGUCCAGACUCCUACGGGAGGCAGCAGUAGGGAAUCUGCCGCAAUAGGCGAAAGCCUGACGGAGCAAGGCGGCGUGAGUGGUGGAGACCUUCGGAGCGUAAAACUCUGUUAUUAGGGAAGAACAAAUGUGUAAGUAAAUAUGCACGUCUUGACGGUACCUAGUCAGAAAGCCACGGCUAACUACGUG
rnacentral:rRNA from 1 species